rnacentral:rRNA from 1 species
GAUGAACGCUGGCGGCGUGCCUAAUACAUGCAAGUCGAACGAGGUGCUCAGGUAGCAAUACGAGAGUAUCCUAGUGGUGAACGGGUGAGUAACGCGUUGGUGACCUGCCCCAAAGUGUGGGAUACCAGUUCGAAAGGACUGCUAAUACCUCAUGUGGUCUUCGGAUCCAGAAACCGAUGACUAAAGGAGUAAUCCGCUUUGGGAGGGACCUGCGUCCCAUCAGCUAGUUGGUAGGGUAACGGCCUACCAAGGCUACGACGGGUAGGGGACCUGAGAGGGUGACCCCCCACAAUGGAACUGAAACACGGUCCAUACACCUACGGGUGGCAGCAGUAGGGAAUAUUGCACAAUGGGCGAAAGCCUGAUGCAGCAACGCCGCGUGUGCGAAGAAGGCCUUCGGGUCGUAAAGCACUUUUCUGAGAGAUGAGAAAGGACAGUAUCUCAGGAAUAAGUCUCGGAUAACUACGUGCCAGCCGCCGCAGUAACAC